AGAGUUUGAUCAUGGCUCAGAUUAAACGCUGGCGGCAUGCCUUACACAUGCAAGUCGAACGGCAGCACGGGGGCAACCCUGGUGGCGAGUGGCGAACGGGUGAGUAAAGCAUCGGAACGUGCCCUGGAGUGGGGGAUAACGUAGCGAAAGUUACGCUAAUACCGCAUAUUCUGUGAGCAGGAAAGCAGGGGAUCGCAAGACCUUGCGCUCUGGGAGCGGCCGAUGUCGGAUUAGCUAGUUGGUGGGGUAAAGGCCUACCAAGGCGACGAUCCGUAGCGGGUCUGAGAGGAUGAUCCGCCACACUGGGACUGAGACACGGCCCAGACUCCUACGGGAGGCAGCAGUGGGGAAUUUUGGACAAUGGGCGAAAGCCUGAUCCAGCCAUGCCGCGUGAGUGAAGAAGGCCUUCGGGUUGUAAAGCUCUUUCGGUGGGGAAGAAAUUGCACGGGUUAAUAGCCUGUGUAGAUGACGGUACCGGCGGAAUAAGCACCGGCUAACUACGUG
rnacentral:rRNA from 1 species